UACGUAGGGUGCAAGCGUUACUCGGAAUUACUGGGCGUAAAGCGUGCGCAGGCGGUUCGCUAAGACAGAUGUGAAAUCCCUGGGCUUAACCUGGGAACUGCAUUUGUGACUGGCGGGCUAGAGUAUGGCAGAGGGGGGUAGAAUUCCACGUGUAGCAGUGAAAUGCGUAGAGAUGUGGAGGAAUACCGAUGGCGAAGGCAGCCCCCUGGGCCAAUACUGACGCUCAUGCACGAAAGCGUGGGGAGCAAACAGG
rnacentral:rRNA from 1 species